UGGGGAAUAUUGGACAAUGGGGGCAACCCUGAUCCAGCCAUGCCGCGUGAGUGAAGAAGGCCUUAGGGUUGUAAAGCUCUUUCAGUCGUGACGAUGAUGACGGUAGCGACAGAAGAAGCCCCGGCUAACUCCGUGCCAGCAGCCGCGGUAAGACGGAGGAUGCAAGCGUUAUCCGGAAUUAUUGGGCGUAAAGCGUCCGUAGGCGGUUUAUCAAGUCAGUUGUUAAAGACUGCAGCUCAACUGUGGGCGAGCAACUGAAACUGAUGAACUAGAGUGCGGUAGGGGUAGAGGGAAUUCCCAGUGUAGCGGUGAAAUGCGUAGAUAUUGGGAAGAACACCAGUGGCGAAGGCGCUCUACUGGGCCGCAACUGACGCUGAGGGACGAAAGCUAGGGGAGCGAAAGGGAUUAGAUACCCCCGUAGUCC
rnacentral:rRNA from 1 species